rnacentral:rRNA from 1 species
UACUUAUGUAAUUUUCGGCGCUGUCGACUUGAGUCGACAGCGGCAGUUAAAGGGUUAAAAAGCUCGUAGUUGGAUUUUGGGCGCAGGCGGCCGGUCCGUCGCAAGGCGUGUACUGGACGUCCUGGCCUUCCCUCCGGUUCUCCGCCGGUGCUCUUGACUGAGUGUCGGCGGCGGCCGGAACGUUUACUUUGAAAAAAUUAGAGUGUUCAAAGCAGGCUCUCGAGCCUGGAUAAUGGUGCAUGGAAUAAUGGAAUAGGACCUCGGUUCUAUUUUGUUGGUUUUCGGAGCGCGAGGUAAUGAUUAAGAGGGACAGACGGGGGCAUUCGUACUGUGCCGUUAGAGGUGAAAUUCUUGGAUCGGCGCAAGACGAACGACUGCGAAAGCAUUUGCCAAGAAUGUUUUCUUUAAUCAAGAGCGAAAGUCAGAGGUUCGAAGACGAUCAGAUACCGUCCUAGUUCUGACUAUAAACGAUGCCAACUAGCGAUCGGGGGGCGUUACAUUGACGACCCCUCCGGCCAGCUUACGGGAAACCAAAGUCUUUGGGUUCCGGGGGAAGUAUGGUUGCAAAGCUGAAACUUAAAGGAAUUGACGGAAGGGCACCACCAGGAGUGGAGCCUGCGGCUUAAUUUGACUCAACACGGGAAAUCUCACCCGGCCCGGACACAGUGAGGAUUGACAGAUUGAGAGCUCUUUCUUGAUUCUGUGGGUGGUGGUGCAUGGCCGUUCUUAGUUGGUGGAGCGAUUUGUCUGGUUAAUUCCGAUAACGAACGAGACUCUGGCUUGCUAAAUAGUUACGCGACCAUCCCGGUCGGCGUUUAACUUCUUAGAGGGACAAGUGGCGUUUAGCCACACGAGAUUGAGCAAUAACAGGUCUGUGAUGCCGUAUAGAUGU